UACCAGCACCCCGAGUGGUCGGGACGAUUAUUGGGCCUAAAGCAUCCGUAGCCGGUCCUGCAAGCCUUCCGUUAAAUCCAGCUGCUCAACAGAUGGGCUGCGGGGGAUACUACAGGGCUAGGAGGCGGGAGAGGCAAGCGGUACUUUAUGGGUAGGGGUAAAAUCCGUUGAUCCAUAGAAGACCACCAGUGGCGAAGGCGGCUUGCCAGAACGCGCUCGACGGUGAGGGAUGAAAGCUGGGGGAGCAAACCGG
rnacentral:rRNA from 1 species